UACGAGGGGAGCAAGCGUUGUUCGGAUUUACUGGGCGUAAAGGGCGCGUAGGCGGCCACGACAAGUCACUUGUGAAAUCUCCGGGCUUAACCCGGAAAGGUCAACCGAUACUGCGGGGCUAGAGUGCAGAAGGGGCAACUGGAAUUCUCGGUGUAGCGGUGAAAUGCGUAGAUAUCGAGAGGAACACCUGCGGCGAAGGCGGGUUGCUGGGCUGACACUGACGCUGAAGUGCGAAAGCUAGGGGAGCGAACGGG
rnacentral:rRNA from 1 species